UGUUCAGUCUUGAGGUUUGAAUCUGUUAAAAGUCAAGUUCCACUUAGAUAUUUGUGAAAAUAUAGCUGUAACGUCAGAAGAGGAUGGAUCUGUCCUUGAAACACUAAUUGCCUUUUGUUAGGCACUUGCUUUUCUAUACAUGACCAUAUAUUGUAGAUGCUUCAACAUCGACUCUGUUAGUUUGCAAAGGUCUUAGGGUGUUUCUAGUAGUAUGAUUUCAGAAAUGCUUAUGGAUCUUUGGCAUGGCAUUAUAUAUUUGCAAAUGAAUUACAUAAAGACACAGAAUACUUCAUAAAGUUGCAUAGAACUAUAAUUCAUAAUCAGAUUCUCAGAAUCAUUUGGGGGUUAUAUUCCAUAAUCAGAUUCUCAUAAUAUAUUUGUUUAGCUUCCAAAUUUCUUUUCGGCAGAAGUUCUGGUUCUGUAUACUAUAUAUGUUUAUUUGUUGUCAUUUAAUCAGAUGUUUUGUGUUUUGAUGGAGAUUCUGACAGAUUGUCAUUGAUAGAAUAUUUGAUUUUCUCUUCAUCGGUAUUCUUCUAUUUCUGAGGUAAUUGUUUUUUGGGCAAUAUAUUAGGCAAUAGAACCUUAUUAUUAUGCUUGAAGCAUAACUUGAGGGAAUUACUAAUCUUGGAAAAGCCCAUCUUG
rnacentral:lncRNA from 1 species